GUCGAGCGGGGAGCAAUCCCAGCGGCGGACGGGUGAGUAACACGUAGGUAAUGUGCCUUUUGGUGGGGAAUAACCGUGGGAAACCAUGGCUAAUACCGCAUAUCGUGCUUCGGCAUGAAAGCCUUCGAGGCAACUCGAGGGCGCCAGUUGAGCAGCCUGCGUCCCAUUAUUUAGUCCUAGUUGGUAGGGUAAUGGCCUACCAAGGGUACGAUGGGUAGCUGGUCUGAGAGGAUGAUCAGCCACACUGGAACUGAGACACGGUCCAGACUCCUACGGGAGGCAGCAGUGGGGAAUAUUGCGCAAUGGGGGAAACCCUGACGCAGCCACGCCGCGUGAGUGAUGAAGGCCUUCGGGUUGUAAAGCUCUGUCGGGAGGGACGAAGGGGAAACCCUGACGGUACCUCGCAAGAAAGCACCGGCUAACUCUGUGCCAGCAGCCGCGGUAAUACAGAGGGUGCAAGCGUUGCUCGGAUUUACUGGGCGUAAAGCGUACGCAGACGGUGAAGAAGGUCGGAUGUGAAAGCCCCGGGCUCAACCCGGGAACUGCAUCCGAAACCGCUUCGCUAGAGUAUGGGAGAGGAAAGCGGAAUUCCUGGUGUAGAGGUGAAAUUCGUAGAUAUCAGGAGGAACACCUGCGGCGAAGGCGGCUUUCUGGCCCAUUACUGACGUUCAGGUACGAAAGCGUGGGUAGCAAACAGGAU
rnacentral:rRNA from 1 species